rnacentral:rRNA from 1 species
GGGCCAUUUCCCGGAUUAUUGGGCGUAAGAGCUCGUAGGCGGUUUGUCGCGUCUGCCGUGAAAGUCCGGGGCUCAACUCCGGAUCUGCGGUGGGUACGGGCAGACUAGAGUGAUGUAGGGGAGACUGGAAUUCCUGGUGUAGCGGUGAAAUGCGCAGAUAUCAGGAGGAACACCGAUGGCGAAGGCAGGUCUCUGGGCAUUAACUGACGCUGAGGAGCGAAAGCAUGGGGAGCGAACAGGAUUAGAUACCCUGGUAGUCCAUGCCGUAAACGUUGGGCACUAGGUGUGGGGGACAUUCCACGUUUUCCGCGCCGUAGCUAACGCAUUAAGUGCCCCGCCUGGGGAGUACGGCCGCAAGGCUAAAACUCAAAGGAAUUGACGGGGGCCCGCACAAGCGGCGGAGCAUGCGGAUUAAUUCGAUGCAACGCGAAGAACCUUACCAAGGCUUGACAUGAACCGGAAACACCUGGAAACAGGUGCCCCGCUUGCGGUCGGUUUACAGGUGGUGCAUGGUUGUCGUCAGCUCGUGUCGUGAGAUGUUGGGUUAAGUCCCGCAACGAGCGCAACCCUCGUUCUAUGUUGCCAGCGCGUGAUGGCGGGGACUCAUAGGAGACUGCCGGGGUCAACUCGGAGGAAGGUGGGGACGACGUCAAAUCAUCAUGCCCCUUAUGUCUUGGGCUUCACGCAUGCUACAAUGGCCGGUACAAAGGGUUGCGAUACUGUGAGGUGGAGCUAAUCCCAAAAAGCCGGUCUCAGUUCGGAUUGGGGUCUGCAACUCGACCCCAUGAAGUCGGAGUCGCUAGUAAUCGCAGAUCAGCAACGCUGCGGUGAAUACGUUCCCGGGCCUUGUACACACCGCCCGUCAAGUCACGAAAGUUGGUAACACCCGAAGCCGGUGGCCUAACCCCUUGUGGGAGGGAGCUGUCGAAGUGGGACUGGCGAUUGGACUAAGUCGUAACAAGGUAACC